GGAGCCACAAGGAGCUUAAUCUAUAUUUGUUAAAAUGAAGACCUGUAGCAUGUUCUUCUAACGCACCAGUAGCAGGGGAAAGGGCAAAUGUCCAGAUUGAUGGGAAUAAAUUGUUUGAGAACUUCUGAGGAAUGAUAAAAGGCAGAGGAACCUGCCCUUUAAGAAUCCCAAGCAACUACAGGGAAGGUGUUAAGACAAAGGUUUGUUUGUGCAGGAGCUGCUGUGCACUCGUCCUUGACAGGAAGGGCAAGCUGAGCAAACAGGGCAGAGGACGAGCAUGUGAGGUGGCCGCAGGGGAGCCAGCAGCAGGGACAGGGCUGCUCCGACUGCUUGAGAAUCUCUUCAGCAACCGGGAAGGGGCUGAAAGCACAAAGACAAGAUUGUGUUGUGAAGGUGUUUCCUCACAGAGUCUGGGUUAUUUCUGUUGCAGUAUUGCUUCCUUCACACCCCUUGUAUUACUAUGCUAUAGGAUUAACAUCAGGCAGUUAGGAGAAACUUCAGACUUCCCAGAGCAUGGCCCAAGGAGUAGCCAAUGCUCUGUUGUCCAUAGCUGCAUUCAGUUUAGAGUUUACUUGCUGUGAAUGUACGUUUUGAAAAAGCUUUUUUGCUUUGUUGUAAUUUAAGAACAGUCCUUCCAAUGUCUCUAUUGUCAAGUAUGUGCUGAGAUGUAUGGGUACUUCUGCCGGUAUAGUCUUUCCAUCGCAACUUGAAGCUAUGGAAUGUGCAAGAGUGGUCCUUAAUUUUAUUCUUAUUCAGAAGUGGAAAAGAAGGCAGUGAUAACAGAGAAAAUUUUCAUUUUCCUUCUUAAACCCCACCAGUUUGAAUAAUCUUUUGCUGAGUUUCCUGAUGUGGCUAUUUGCAUUCUUUUGUGAAUUCAGACUGACUGUUAGCAGCCUCCAAAUAAAACAUGGUUAUAUGAAGAUUUACCUUGG
rnacentral:lncRNA from 1 species